rnacentral:rRNA from 1 species
UACGUAGGGGGGCUAGCGUUGUCCGGAAUCAUUGGGCGUAAAGAGCGUGUAGGCGGCCCGGUAAGUCCGCUGUGAAAGUCGGGGGCUCAACCCUCGAAUGCCGGUGGAUACUGUCGGGCUAGAAUGCGGAAGAGGCGAGUGGAAUUCCUGGUGUAGCGGUGAAAUGCGCAGAUAUCGGGAGGAACACCAAUGGCGAAGGCAGCUCGCUGGGACGUGACUGACGCUGAGACGCGAAAGCGUGGGGAGCAAACAGG